rnacentral:tRNA from 1 species
GGGCGUGUGGUGAAAUUGGUAUACACGUGCGCUUCAGGUGCGCAUGGGGCAACCCGUGGGAGUUCGAGUCUCCCCACGCCCA